rnacentral:rRNA from 1 species
GAUGAACGCUAGCGGCAGGCCUAACACAUGCAAGUCGAGGGGUAACAUAGAAAAGCUUGCUUUUCUGAUGACGACCGGCGCACGGGUGCGUAACGCGUAUACAACCUACCUUUUAGCGGGGAAUAGCCCAGGGAAACUUGGAUUAAUGCCCCAUAGUAUAUGGACUUCUCCUGAAGUUUAUAUUAAACAUUUAUGGCUAUUAGAUGGGUAUGCGUCCUAUUAGUUAGUUGGUAAGGUAACGGCUUACCAAGGCAGCGAUAGGUAGGGGUCCUGAGAGGGAGAUCCCCACACUGGUACUGAGACACGGACCAGACUCCUACGGGAGGCAGCAGUGAGGAAUAUUGGACAAUGGGCGAGAGCCUGAUCCAGCCAUGCCGCGUGCAGGAAGACUCGCCCUAGUGGGUUAGUAAACUGUCUUUUACAGAGGAAGAACCCACCCCACGUGUGGGGGUUUGACGGUACUCUGCGAAUAAGGAUCGGCUAACUCCGUG